AUGGAGCCGCGGCUUCGCGAACCAGGGGAGUUCCCUCCCGAGUAUGUGACAAAUGGAGAAGACACUCAGUUGUUUUCAGUUGAGUUUGAGCACAAUGGGAUAUUCAUAGGGCAGGGUACAACUACAAACAGAUCAUAUACAAAUAUUGGAUGUACACAUGAUGCUUUCGACUACUGCCAUGUUGAUACAUGGUCAUUGGGCAUGGUGAAGUACUGUUUGUCCAGGUUGGAUUAUGAUCCCACUGAUCCAUUGGUCAAAGUGUAUUGGGUUUUGCCAGGGAAAGAUAUUAUGGAUGGCCUUGUCUGUGUGGAAACUGAGGAAGCAAUUGCUGCUAUGGUCACUGCAAGCAAAGAAGCUAAAACAUUGGAUGUAAUAGUGGACAAGGAAAACAAAAUAAGGACUUUGUAUGGCGACGAUGUCAUACUCAAUAGAUGCCCAACACUACCUAGAAAAUUGCCAAGGUCUGGUCAGUUUGGAGAAGGGACUUCUGGUUCAUAUGCAGAGGAGGCGAGGGAAGAGGAGGAAACAGGGGAGGAGGAAGCAGGGGAAUCAGGGGAAGCAAAAGAUGCACAGACCGACUCGGACUUUUAUGAGAGUGACUUUGACUGCGAAGAUGGGGAUGAUGAUCUGUUUGCUGAGAAUGUGGAUCCAGAGUUGAAUGACAAUAAUGAGAAGCAAGCUGAAAUAUUUGACGAAGAGGACCCAUUAGAUGACGAUGACCUCAGUCUGUCCAAGGAAGAGCUUGAGAAGCUUAAUUACAGAUUUAGAGUAUUCAAUCCAGAGCUGGAUAGCAACAACCCAAUGUUCAGGGUUGGCUUGGUAUUUGGAGAAAUGAAAGAACUAAGGGCUGCACUCACUGCAUACAGUGUCAAAAAUAGAGUUAAAAUCUAUAAACCAAGGAAUGAGGCAGAGAGGUUAAACGCAUCAUGUCAAUCUGAUUGUCCUUGGAAGCUUAAAGCUUCAAAAGACAAUAGAACAGGCAGCAUUGUUGUGAGAGAGUACAAUGGAGACCACACAUGUCAGAAAAUAUGGAACUCCAAGUGCUUGACAGUUAAAUAUCUCACACAAAUGUUCAUAGAUGAAUUUAGAGACAAUAAGAAGAUGGACUUGGUUACAUUUGGAAGAAAAGUUCAGAAACAGUUUAAGUUGCUACCAGACAGAAUGAAGUUGGGCAGAGCCAGGAAAGAAGCAUUGAGGAUCAUUAAUGGAGAUGAAGCAGCUCAGUAUAGCAUGCUAUGGGAUUAUGGCCAGGAAUUGAGGAGAAGCAACCCUGGAAGCAAAUUUAUAGCUUGCACAACAAAGGUGAAGGAGAAGGAUGACCUAGAGCCAAAGGAUCAUCUAUCAUCACUAUAUUGGUCUUAUGAUGCAUGCAAGAGAGGCUUCUUGAAUGGUUGCAGGCCAAUAAUCUUUGUUGAUGGAUGUCACUUGAAGAGCAAGUACAAAGGGCAGUUGCUUACAGCUGUGGGCAUAGACCCAAAUGACUGCAUCUUCCCAAUUGCCAUGGGCAUGGUUGAGGUGGAGUCCACAUUUACAUGGGAAUGGUUCCUCACUACACUAAAAAAUGAUCUAAAUAUUCUCAACACUUCUCCAUUCACUAUCAUGAGUGAUAGGCAAAAGGGAUUAAUCAAUGCUGUUGAAAAGGUCUUCCCAGAUGCAGAACACAGAUUUUGUGUUAGACACUUGUACCAGAACUUUUAUCAAAAGUUCAAAGGUGAAACAAUGAAGAAUAUGCUUUGGGCCAUUGCUAGGUCUACAAAUAUGGACAAAUGGAAAUUGAAUAGAGACAAGCUCAAGGAGGAGAAUGAAGCAGCUUACAAUUGGUUGGAUGGGAAGCACCCGAACCAGUGGGUCAAAGCAUUUUUCUCAGAUUUCCUGAAGUGUGACAUACUACUGAACAACAUGUCAGAAGUAUACAAUAGCUACAUCUUGGAUGCAAGGGAGCUUUGCAUUGUGUCUAUGCUAGAUUGUAUAAUGCACAAGAUGAUUGUAAGGCAUGAGAGUAAGCAGAGGGAAGCAAUGGAGAAGUGGACAGGAAGAAUCUGCCCCAAGAUCAGGAAGAAGUUGGACAAGAGUGCGGAGUACUCUGGUAACUGCUAUCCAACUCAUUGUGGUCUUGGAGUAUAUUCCGUUGAGUCUGGAAACAACACAUACAUUGUAGACAUUCUUGCUAGGUGUUGUGAUUGUAAAAGAUUUCAACUUAGUGGGGUGCCCUGCAAUCAUACAAUUGCUUGCUGUAGAGCUGAUAGGAUAGAUCCAGAAGAGUUGGUCCACAAAUGCUAUAGUAUAGAAACCUAUCUAAAGGCAUAUGGUCACAACAUCAUGCCUAUGAGAGAUAAAGCUCACUGGCAGAAAAUGAAUGGGAUUAGAGUACACCCACCAGUUUUCACAAAGGUAAUGGGCAGGCCACCAAAAAGGGCAGCCCCAGUGCAUGUAGCUCCCGCUUGCGCAGGGUCUGGGGAAGGGUCCGACCACUUUGGGUCUAUUGUACGCAGCCUUUCCCUACAUUUCUGUAAGAGGCUGUUUCCAGGACUUGAACCGGUGACCUCAUGGUCACAAGGCAGCAGCUUUACCACUGCGCUAAGGCUCCCCUUCAAUGGGCAGGCCACCAAAGAAUAG
rnacentral:rRNA from 1 species